GUGCUUGCUUUGGCAGCACAUGCACUAAAAUGGAAAUGAUACAAAGAUGAUUAGCAUGGCGCCUGUGCAAGGAUGACAGGCACAUUGGUGAAGCAUUCCAUACUUUA